UACAGAGGGGGCAAGCGUUGUUCGGAAUUACUGGGCGUAAAGGGCGCGUAGGCGGGUGCUCAAGUCUGUGGUGAAAUCCUCCGGCUCAACCGGAGAACUGCCAUGGAUACUGGGUGUCUCGAGGGUGGUAGGGGUAUGCGGAACUAUCGGUGGAGCGGUGAAAUGCGUUGAUAUCGAUAGGAACUCCGGUGGCGAAGGCGGCAUACUGGACCACUUCUGACGCUGAGGCGCGAAAGCCAGGGGAGCAAACGGG
rnacentral:rRNA from 1 species